rnacentral:rRNA from 1 species
UACGAAGGGGGGCUAGCGUUGCUCGGAAUCACUGGGCGUAAAGGGCGCGUAGGCGGCCGUUUUAAGUUGGGGGUGAAAGCCUGUGGCUCAACCACAGAAUUGCCUUCGAUACUGGACGCUUGAGUGUGGUAGAGGUUGGUGGAACUGCGAGUGUAGAGGUGAAAUUCGUAGAUAUUCGCAAGAACACCGGUGGCGAAGGCGGCCAACUGGACCAUUACUGACGCUGAGGCGCGAAAGCGUGGGGAGCAAACAGG